rnacentral:rRNA from 1 species
AUUGAACGCUGGCGGCAGGCCUAACACAUGCAAGUCGAACGGUAGCACAGAGAGCUUGCUCUCGGGUGACGAGUGGCGGACGGGUGAGUAACGUCUGGGAAACUGCCCGAUGGAGGGGGCUAACUACUGGAAACGGUAGCUAAUACCGCAUAACGUCGCAAGACCAAAGUGGGGGACCUUCGGGCCUCACACCAUCGGAUGUGCCCAGAUGGGAUUAGCUAGUAGGUGGGGUAAUGGCUCAACUAGGCGACGAUCCCUAGCUGGUCUGAGAGGAUGACCAGCCACACUGGAACUGAGACACGGUCCAGACUCCUACGGGAGGCAGCAGUGGGGAAUAUUGCACAAUGGGCGCAAGCCUGAUGCAGCCAUGCCGCGUGUAUGAAGAAGGCCUUCGGGUUGUAAAGUACUUUCAGCGGGGAGGAAGGCGGUGAAGUUAAUAACUUCACCGAUUGACGUUACCCGCAGAAGAAGCACCGGCUAACUCCGUGCCAGCAGCCGCAGUAA